UAGCUGUUUCAUAUCUCACAGCACACACAUUGACCAGCAAACAGACUCUGAUGUUAAACGUGGGUUGACUUUCACUUUAUUCUCUUUCUCUGUAGCUUGGUUUCGUGAACUUACUGGACUACCCAGAACCGGACUUGUGCCUAAGGACGUCCAAAUUCAAUCAAAUCUAACAGAAAACGUGACCAUUGGCUGGACAAUCCUGGACUUUGACAGACUGGUGGUUAAGAAAAGACAUGGGGCAUAUGAAGAUUGGCGGGACUGGUCCAGGUUGGCUUUCUUUGCCACUGUUCUGUGAGUGCUACGUGCUCUACAAACCAGGCUGCCUGUGCCAGCAGCCGCUGAGAGGGGGGCAUCCGCCGUCACGCUGUGAGGAGAUAUGACCUAAAGACUGUAAUUAGUGCGACAAGUUCUGGAGAGUGAGACUCGCAUCCGGUGACAGAGAACCAGACCACUUCCCGACACAGUAUCCAAUGACUGACGCUGCUAAUCAUUUCAAACACAAAAGGCUUUUAGCACUUUUAAAAAUUUGAUUAAGCUGUUCUCUCAUUUAGCAAGUGUUGUUUUGCCUAUUAAUUAGCACUUUAUCUAUUAAUCAACCGAUUGACACAUUGAAGAUCUAGGCCUAUAACAAGUACAUUCCAAAUGUAUAUGUGUGCAGUUCAAUUAAUACAUAUUAAUAUGCAUGUACACCGUCUACUGUUGCUAGCCCCAAUUCUGAUUUGUGCUCUGAUAUCUGGUUCACUCAUUUCUGCUCUCGUAAAAGCAUGGGUUUUCUGCAUGUUAACACUAAAAACGUAUUACCUACAGUUGAUCAAUUUAAUGUGUGUGUUCACAGCUCCAAUCCAGAUGAUGGUCAUUAAUGAGACGUGGUUAAGAAAGAGUGUUUUGAACACUUUUGUUAGCCUAUCUGGUUAUAACUUUUUCCAGCAAGACAUACAGUAUCUUCCAAAAGUGGUAGAAUGGAAAUCUUUACCAAGGAACACCUUCAGUGCUCGGUUGUCUCCACCAAGUCUGUCCCCAAACAAUUUGAUUUGCUGGUUUUACGCAUUACAUUACUCUUUGUUGACUGUUGCUGGGUGUUAUCGCCCACCAUCAACACCAGCCAGUACCCUACCUGCUCUCUCAUGACCCCUUACACAAAGUGUGGUGACCUAGGUGACCUAAAUUGGGAUGUGCUUAAACCACCUGACCAAGUCCUAAAGCUAUGUGUCUCCCUAAAUCCUUCUCAGAUUAUUACCAAUCCCACAAGGCAUGACUCCAAACACCCAGAAAAGGCUACUCUCCUUGAUGUUAUCGUUACAAAUAAUCCUGAUAGGUAUCAGUCUGGUGUUGUCUGUAAUGAUCACUGUUUUACAGCCUGUGUUGUUAAUGGCUCCUAUGUGAAACGACCCAUCCUGAUUUCUCAUAGACGCUUACUUAAAAACUUUAAUAAGCAAGCCUCCCUUCAUGAUCUGGCCUCUGUAAAUUGGUAUAGAAUCAGCUUGAUCCCCUCUGUCGAAUAUACUUGGACCUUCUGUUUUGAUAUUUUCAGUGGUAUUGUUAGCAAAUACGCACCCAUUAAAAAAAAGAUAAUUAAAAACAGGUUCAGCCGCUGGUUCGACCGUGAUCUGGCAGAGUUAUUUCACCUCAAGAAUUCCAUUUGGCAAAUCGCUCGG